AUUGAACGCUGGCGGCAGGCCUAACACAUGCAAGUCGAACGGUAACAGGAAACAGCUUGCUGUUUCGCUGACGAGUGGCGGACGGGUGAGUAAUGUCUGGGAAACUGCCUGAUGGAGGGGGAUAACUACUGGAAACGGUAGCUAAUACCGCAUAACGUCGCAAGACCAAAGAGGGGGACCUUCGGGCCUCUUGCCAUCGGAUGUGCCCAGAUGGGAUUAGCUAGUAGGUGGGGUAACGGCUCACCUAGGCGACGAUCCCUAGCUGGUCUGAGAGGAUGACCAGCCACCCUGGAACUGAGACACGGUCCAGACUCCUACGGGAGGCAGCAGUGGGGAAUAUUGCACAAUGGGCGCAAGCCUGAUGCAGCCAUGCCGCGUGUAUGAAGAAGGCCUUCGGGUUGUAAAGUACUUUCAGCGGGGAGGAAGGGAGUAAAGUUAAUACCUUUACUCAUUGACGUUACCCGCAGAAGAAGCACCGGCUAACUCCGUG
rnacentral:rRNA from 1 species